rnacentral:rRNA from 1 species
GAUGAACGCUGGUGGCGUGCCUAACACAUGCAAGUCGAGCGAUUCUCUUCGGAGAAGAGCGGCGGACGGGUGAGUAACGCGUGGGUAACCUGCCCUGUACACACGGAUAACAUACCGAAAGGUAUGCUAAUACGAGAUAACAUGCUUUUAUCGCAUGGUAGAAGUAUCAAAGCUUUUGCGGUACAGGAUGGACCCGCGUCUGAUUAGCUAGUUGGUGAGGUAACGGCUCACCAAGGCGACGAUCAGUAGCCGACCUGAGAGGGUGAUCGGCCACAUUGGAACUGAGACACGGUCCAAACUCCUACGAGAGGCAGCAGUGGGGAAUAUUGCACAAUGGGCGAAAGCCUGAUGCAGCAACGCCGCGUGAGCGAUGAAGGCCUUCGGGUCGUAAAGCUCUGUCCUCAAGGAAGAUAAUGACGGUACUUGAGGAGGAAGCCCCGGCUAACUACGUGC